rnacentral:rRNA from 1 species
AAGCUCGGCUAACUCCGUACCAGCAGCCGCGGUAAGACGGGGAGGCAAGCGUUGUCCGGAAUCACUGGGUGUAAAGGGCGUGUAGGCGGGCCUUUAAGUCGAUUGUGAAAUUUCUCGGCUCAACCGGGAAACUGCAGUCGAUACUAUUGGCCUUGAGUGCGGAAGGGGAGAAUGGAAUUCCUGGUGUAGCGGUGAAAUGCGUAGAUAUCAGGAGGAACACCGGUGGCGAAGGCGAUUCUCUGGUCCUGCACUGACGCUAAGGCGCGAAAGCAAGGGGAGCAAACAGAAUUAGAUACUCUGGUAGUCCUUGCCCUAAACGAUGGGUACUAGGUGUUCGUCCUUUUAAAGGAGGAGUGCCGAAGCUAACGCAUUAAGUACCCCACCUGGGGAGUACGAUCGCAAGGUUGAAACUCAAAGGAAUUGACGGGGACCCGCACAAGCGGUGGAGGAUGUGGUUUAAUUCGACGCAACGCGAAGAACCUUACCUAGGCUUGACAUGCUGGUGAAAACCAUGGAAACAUGGUCCUCCCGCAAGGGACGCCAGUACAGGUGGUGCAUGGCUGUCGUCAGCUCGUGUCGUGAGAUGUUGGGUUAAGUCCCGCAACGAGCGCAACCCUUAUUCUUAGUUGUUUUCCCUUUGGGAUUACCCUCUAAGAAGACUGCCUCGGAUAACGGGGAGGAAGGCGGGGAUGACGUCAAGUCCGCAUGCUCCUUACGUCUAGGGCUACACACGUCCUACAAUGGGGUCGACAAUGGGAUGCAAUAUCGCAAGAUGGAGCCAAUCCCCAAACGGCCUCUCAGUUCGGAUUGUAGUCUGCAACUCGACUACAUGAAGUCGGAAUCGCUAGUAAUGGCGGAUCAGCAUGCCGCCGUGAAUACGUUCCCGGGUCUUGUACACACCGCCCGU